GUGGCGAAGGCGGCCCCCUGGACGAAGACUGACGCUCAGGUGCGAAAGCGUGGGGAGCAAACAGGAUUAGAUACCCUGGUAGUCCACGCCGUAAACGAUGUCUACUUGGAGGCUGUGGUCAUGAACCGUGGCUUCCGGAGCUAACGCGUUAAGUAGACCGCCUGGGGAGUACGGCCGCAAGGUUAAAACUCAAAUGAAUUGACGGGGGCCCGCACAAGCGGUGGAGCAUGUGGUUUAAUUCGAUGCAACGCGAAGAACC
rnacentral:rRNA from 1 species